rnacentral:misc_RNA from 1 species
CACCAUCAGCAAAAGCAAAUCCUAAUAUAUAACAGCGAGUGAUGUAACAUAUAGCAACCCAAAUCAAUUACACACUGCAAUUUCUUUCAAGCAUUUCUCUGAGUCUUCUAAUGAAAUGAUGGCUUGACUCCUUUUGGAGUUGCCGUCUUCCGAAUUACAGAUUUCUGAGACGAAAAGAGCCACCAAAAUGAUCACUGGAGUAACAAGAAGAAUAAGACCAAAGGGCACCAUCCAUAGCUGACUACUUGUAAGGUGAUACUCAUACUCCCAAUAACCCAGAAUUAGCCCUCCUGAUAGGCUCACCAAAAAUGAGCACAAACAAGCUAUGCACGCCUUCAAAAUUUUCCUGGGUUCUUUACGAUCACUCUCAAACUCUUCAUUUUCCUUGCAUGUUCCCAUCAACUACAACCAAUUCUUGGAGUUUUCCCCUCAGUCAGUUAGAAGGAGAACCAGAGGGUGUGGGAGCUUGCUUAAACUGCUUUUUAAAGAGAGGCAUGGCAUAGAAAAGAUAAAGAACCGUAGAAUAUUAGACUGAGAGUUCCACGAGUCGUGCAACUAUCCAAGGAAAAACUUGAUUGAGCCACCCACCAGACGUGCCUUGUUAUCAAAUGUUAACUGAAAGGUAUAUAUAAAGAAGAAAAUAGAAUACGUAGCGUAUGACACUAGUGAUUGAAGUAG